rnacentral:misc_RNA from 1 species
AAUUAAAAGAAAUUUAAAUAAACGAGGUAAUGGGUCCACAUCUUUCAGUGACAAACUCCAAAACUUAGAAUCCUUUCCCAGCUUAUUCAGCGAUGCUAGAGAUUAGAAAAGCAUUCUUUUAUGUGCAUUCAAUAUAUUAACCAAGAUUGUCCAAAAUGCCAACGGGACUGGCAUCUUCCAAAUUAAUGAGUGGAGAAGAAAAGAGACGAGGGAAGAAGAUGCAUCCUCAUCCUCUUAUAAAACAAACCGACCAAACUCUGUUGAAACCGAUAAGCCAAUUCAUAAUUAGUUGUGUGCAGUGUCGAAAAGCUUCUGAUAUGAUAUCAUUACAUAUCAAUUCAGCAUAAAGGUCAAGAAAUGCCAAGUUUUUGAAGAUGAUAUUUGCACGUCCGUUGAAUUUUACAGUUUCCUUUAGUUCUGUACGGUGAAACUUGCAAAUUAACUUAACAAAAACCCAUUUACACAGCCCUAAAAUUUUCCACCUGCUAAGCUGGAACAACCGGCGGUUCCAAGUUUGAUGAUCCAUCAUCCUCCAAGGUUCCACCCUUCGUUGUUUCUUUGGACUCCUUGUCAUCUUCUUGAAAUCCUUCCUUGAAUCUAUCAUAAUUUGUGGGCUCACUUGACUUGAAUGGACGUUCGCCCAGGACCCUAACCAAGUCAUCUUGAUGAAGGACCUCCUUCUCAAGCAACAGCUCUGCAAUCUGAGCCACUUGCUCCUUGUGUUCCUCUAUCAACUGAACAGUGCGUUCAUAUGCUAUGGCCACCCAUUCUCUUACUUCAUUAUCUAUAAUUGCACCUGUCUUGCUACUAUAGGGUUUAGUCAUCUCAAAUGUAUCAUCCCUCUGGGGAAAGGAUAAAAGACCCACUUUGUUGCUGAAACCAUAAACUGCUACCUGGGCAUAAGUCAUUUUUGUUACUUUCUCCAAGUCAUUCUGCGCGCCGGUUGAAAUCUUCCCUAGCAAAACCUGCUCAGCAGCUCGACCACCAAGUGUCAUGCAGGUCAUAUCAAAUAGCUGCUCUUUGGUCAUCAAAAGAUUUUCAUUGGGAACAUACUGAGCAAAUCCUAGUGCAGCAGUACCACGUGGAACAAUUGUCACUUUCAAAAGGGGUUCUGCGUGUUCCAAGAACCAUCCAGUAACAGCAUGGCCUGAUUCAUGAUAAGCAACAGUCCGGCGUUCCUGCUUGCUAAUUACCUUGUUCUUCUUCUCCAAACCACCAAUGAUUCUAUCUAUUGCUGCCUCAAAAUGUUCCAUUGUGAUCUGUGACCCUUCAUUCCUAGCAGCAAUUAGAGCAGCUUCAUUACAUACAUUUGCAAUAUCUGCCCCAGCAAAUCCAGGAGUGAGGGCUGCAAGCCUUUGAGAGUAAUAUGAUGGCUCAUGAUCGAGUUUUAUUUUUUUCAAGUAGAUAUUAAAAAUCUGUUCACGGCCUUUAAUAUCAGGUUUAUCAAUGGAAAUUUGGCGAUCAAAUCGGCCCGGCCUCAACAAAGCCUUGUCUAAAAUGUCUGGCCUAUUAGUGCCAGCAAGAACAACAACACCAGAAGUAGUUCCAAAGCCAUCCAUUUCUACCAACAACUGAUUAAGGGUGCUUUCCCGCUCAUCAUUGGAACCUGAGAAGCCCCCACGCCCCCUCGCUCUGCCAAUUGCAUCAAUCUCGUCAAUAAAUAUAAUACUAGGAGCACACUGCCUUGCUUCUUGAAACAAAUUUCUCACUCUAGAAGGUCCAACGCCAACAAACAUCUCCAUGAAAUCUGAACCAGAAAUGGACAGGAAAGGCACGCCAGAUUCUCCUGCAGUUGCCUUUGCUAGAAGGGUCUUUCCAGUCCCUGGAGGACCUACCAAAAGGGCACCUUUAGGAAUUUUAGCUCCCAAUUCCUCGUACUUCUUUGGGUUCUUGAGGAAGUGCACAAACUCCAUGAUUUCUUGUUUUGCCUCAUCACAACCAGCAACAUCUUUAAAGUAAACCUUAUUUUUAGCAUUUUUAUCCACUUUGGUUACAUGGGCCUUCCCUAUGUUGAAUAUUCCACGACCACCCUUACCACCACCACCACCAACACCUAAUCCACCUUGCAUUCUCCGUCCCAUGUACAUAAGGGUUCCCAAAAGCAAGAGUGUUGGUGCAAACCUCAUUAAUUCUUGGUACCAAACCAUUUCAGAUACAUACGUAACAGGAACAUGGUCAUGAGGAUCUAUCCCUAGUGCUUCUUGGGCUUCCUCUAACUUCUCCUCAAAAGAUUCAACACUUCCAAUAUUGAAGUAGUAUUUAUAUUGGCCCCCAUGUCCUCUAGCAGGGGCACCAUUAAUGGGACCUUGCACAACAUCGUCACUAGUUUGAUUCUGAGGUGAGCUCCUUACAUACACUUUAGCAACUGAUUUAUUGGAAACAACUAUAUGGUCAACCAAACCUGGUUCCAGAAGCUUGUUUUUGAAUUCUUGGAAACUAAUCUGCCAAGAACAAAAUUGAAAAGCACCUGAGAGAAAGAGUAGCUCAAGAAGUGAUAUGCACAUCUACCAUCUGUCUAACAGCAAGGAUGUUUUGUAUAUUCUUUAUUUUGUACCAGCCCAGUAAUAGUGAGUUAAGUCAUUAAUUAUUUUUUGCAAAUUUAACUCACUCUAUAGGCUUAUUACAUUAAUGUCUUAAACAAGGCAAAUCACUAUCAAAUACAGUAUCUUGAAAUAGAAGCAUAUAGAAACAUUGUUUCAUAAGAUUUCAUAAAAUUUUAGAGCUGCUUGUGAGAACAAAAAUCUAAAAGUGCAAAGUGGAUGAAAAUGAGCACGUUGUUGCAUAUAUAAAGAGGCAGAAGAAAUCAGAGUUUGGCACUUUGCCCAGCUUAAGAUAGUUCAAAUUCUGACUUAAAUUCCCUAUCAUUAUUUACUUCUGUAAACCAUACCCAAAAAAUAAGAAGCUGUUAGCAUGCUAACAGUUAUAUUCAUUAAAUUAAAGAUGAAGUGAAGCACACAAUUAAAACAUUGUAGGAAAGAAAAUCAGAUUGUUUACCUGUUGCUGUUCAGUAGGACCAAAAGAGAAAGAAGAAAGAAGUAUCCCAAUCACUAGUAAAGGGGUAAGUAAAUUGAAUUGCUUAAUGAAUGUUUUCUGAAAGUUCCAGUCAUCAUCCGCAUUUGAAUCAUCUUUGGAUUCAGAUUUCUGCUCAUUCCCUUUCGGGACUUCCUUCUUUUCCUUGGGAUAGAAGUUCUCAUAAUUCUUCUUCUUAGGAGCUUCGCUGGAGAAAAAGCGUAGAAUUCUAGGGUUAGCAAGAAGGUAAUUCAAAUCGGAUAAAGUAGAUUUAGAGACAAACUCCUUAUGAGCUCCAAUUGAAGCUAAAUAUCCUCUCACAAACCCUAAUCCUCCAUCGAAUCUAUCUACAUGCCCAACUCCACCUGCUCCUCCAGCCACUCUCGAAAUCGCCGAUCUCCCACCACCACCACCACGCAACACAUUAGCAGAACGAGAAGAUCGAGCAAAUGAACGAUUGAGCUUAGAAAAAAUCAUGAUAUGAAUAGUUAAUGGUAUUUUAGUAGAAGUAUGAAAUCGAGGAGUUUGGUUUUAUGGAUUUUAAAGGGAGGGAAAUUUGAGGUCAAAGCGUUAGCUUCGCAAUGUAAACUUGGGAAACAAGAUACAGCCAGCCCACAG